rnacentral:tRNA from 2 species
GGCUGGAUGACAGAGUGGUGAUGUAGCGGAUUGCAAAUCCGUCAACCCCGGUUCGAUUCCGGGUCUAGCCUCCA